rnacentral:misc_RNA from 1 species
GAUGAAGAACGUAGCGAAAUGCGAUACGUAAUGUGAAUUGCAAAUUCAGUGAAUCAUCGAGUCUUUGAACGCACAUUGCGCCCCCUGGUAUUCCGGGGGGCAUGCCUGUCCGAGCGUCAUUGCUGCCCUCAAGCACGGCUUGUGUGUUGGGCCCCGUCCUCCGAUUCCGGGGGACGGGCCCGAAAGGCAGCGGCGGCACCGCGUCCGGUCCUCGAGCGUAUGGGGCUUUGUCACCCGCUCUGUAGGCCGGCCGGCGCUUGCCGAUCAACCCAAAUUUUUAUCCAGGUUGACCUCGGAUCAGGUAGGGAUACCCGCUGAACUUAAGCAUAUCAAUAAGCGGAGGA